GAUUAAGCCAUGCAUGUGUAAGUAUAAAUAAUUCUACUUUGAAACUGCGAAUGGCUCAUUAUAUCAGUUAUAGUUUAUUAGAAAAAAUGUACUACUUGGAUAACCGUAGUAAUUCUAGGGCUAAUACAUGAAUGAAUCCUCGACUUUGAAGAGGUGUGUUUAUUAGUAUGAAAACCAUAUGCUUGUGCAUGAUAGUGAGUAAUAAUAACCUUUCGUAUCGUAUGUUGAAAUAACGAUAGUUCUUUCAAGUUUCUGCCCUAUCAGCUUUCGAUGGUAGUGUAUUGGACUACCAUG
rnacentral:rRNA from 1 species